GGGAGCAUAACUCAGCGGUAGAGUAUGUGCCUUACAAGCAUGAAGUCGUGAGUUCGAUUCUCUCUGGUCCCA
rnacentral:tRNA from 2 species